rnacentral:tRNA from 1 species
GGGCGCAUAGCUCAGCUGGGAGAGCACCUGCCUUACAAGCAGGGGGCCAUAGGUUCAAGUCCUAUUGCGCCCACCA